rnacentral:sRNA from 1 species
UUUUUUUUAGGGGGGUGAGGCGUAGGGGGUGCUGAUGGUGUGAGAGGUCCGGUCUGACUUGAAGACACCCUGCCCUAGGUACCAGCUGGAGAUGUUCUGUCACUUCCAGGACGUUGAAGGUAGAGGGAGUCACUUGAGGGUUUCUGCUGUCCUUGCCACCGGAUGAUUUUGCUACUUUGCUUACAGGUGUUGGCGCUUUACUUCUUGCAACUGUCUGCUUGUUUCCUUCCUGAGAUUUCCAAAGCCCGUAGUUUUAUCUUCAUAAAUAAGGAGUCGCUGAAGCUGGUGUGGCCAGACUGGGCUCUACCGGUUCCAGAAUCCAAGUCCUUAGUUUUAUAUCUAAACAAAUACCUAAAACCCCCUUCCCAGGCUUCGGUUAGCACUUCCUUUUAGAUUCACAAAUGAGCGAUACACAGAAGCAGACACAACGCUACUGUCCUCGCUCCCUAGACUUCACUCGUUUAUCUCCUGGAUAUCCUUGGGGUCUGGCAGCUUCCCUCGGGCUUCAGUAUCCCAGUACAGAACUUGCCUGACUGUAGCUCAAAAGAGCCCGACAUCUGUCCAAUUAUCUACUCUCAUUUUCCUCCAAGGCAUUUUUUUUUUUUACACAAGAAACCCUAAAUAUAGAGAACUCUUAAAAUCUGGACUAGAGUGGGGAGACAGAACAAAGACCUUAAAAACUAUUAAAAACAAAAAAGCCCGCUCAUCUCAGACUCCCCACCCUCAAGCCUGGCAUGACUGAGGUUCAGGUUGCCUAAUCACAUAAGAACGUGGGGCUUUCUCCUAAUGGAGUUGAUAUCAGUUGUGUGAAGGAUGAAAACACUGAGGUGUAAGUGUUGAAUUUGAGCACUUUAGCUAGUGUGUUCUAUCAUGUUUUCCUUAACAUUAAUGGUUGGUAUAGAAAACACAGGGUUCCCUUACCUUUUCAUGCACAGAAUCAUUCCACAUGACCCAACCUCCUUCAGAUAUAAUCCCUGUUCUGCUUCCUUGCCGCUUAUGUCGCCUUAGUAUUUGAAGCCAGGCUGAAUUUUGUCAGGGAUACAGAAGGUCUGUCCAUUCCCAGUUUGGGGCAUUGCUUAUUGGUGGAGACUGCUGCCUUGUAUCUGUUUCAGGUGUGGGAAUGGGGAGAAGGAAAAUAGAGGUAGUAAUUAGGAGGAGGAGUAGAGGUUGAACAGCAAAAGGCAGAGCAGAGAGACAGGACGUGCCAUGUGGACUUGGCUUCCACUUAAAGCCGCCUUCAUUCUCUGAAGAGAAGAAGGGUAACAUGCAACUAAGCUAACCAUACUCCAUGUAACAGGUCAAAACUUAGCUCUGGUGGACAGCGACACCUGGGACUCAUUUGCUGUUUUCAAAAUUCUUUUCUGAAAGACCUGAAUCCAGCAUACUCACCGUUUGUAUUUGGAGGAACACGUGGCUGGAACGGAUUCUGGAAUCAUCCUUUGAUACCUAAAAUGGGUGUGCAAGUUGACAGUGGACAAGAAGGCGUCUGGGAUUGAUGGAUCAGAUGAUGGGUCUGUGAAGACAAUGAAGCCAGGAAUUCCCAGUGAGCCCAGCCAGCCAUGCCUGAUCCAUCAAGGGAGGCACAACAUGCAAACCAAUAAAGAUCUUUCUACACAAUUGAAAGAGAAGAAGGAAUCACAGGAGAACGCCGUGUGCACAGGUCGGCCCUUCCCGAGAUCUGAGUUUGGUGACUGGGAUCUCUCCGGAUCUAGAAAUAAGCCACCUGGUUGUGGCCUACCAGACUGUUGUGUGAGUCUCAGGUCCUGUAACAAGAAGAGAAUACGCACACGGGAGCGCUUGGAUGUGCACAAAGGCAAGUGCUGCUCCAUAGAGAGAAAUGCAGUCAUUAGAAUGAACGCCCUUGGCUUGUUUAAUGUUUAAUAUGUACAGCUUUUAGGUAUGAUCUCUAUAGCCUGUUCACAUAUGAUCUUGACUCUCAAUCACCAUCCAGAUUCAAAAGGAACUGGAAGUUUGAAAAAUAGCUUUUAAUAACAAAGUUUACAAAAAGCUCUCAAGGUUGGAACACAUCACUAACAUGUGCUCAGAGACCAAAGAGAUCGAAUGGCUUGACUCUGCUGAGAGAGAGACUUGGCCAGUGUGCUUCUAAGAGGCAGAGAGGAGGAGGCCCACCCUCGGGGAGGACAUAUUUGCUUACAUGAAUCCAGCCUAUAGUGAGCAGCCCCAGUUCCUCCUGAAUCAUAAACAGCUCUCCUCAUUCUUCGUGUGACAAUAAUCAGGGCCUCUGUCUUGCUCUGGGAUAAUCACAUGUCUUAUGAGGUACACUUCUCUCACCUGCCAUGAGAAAACUUGUCACAAUUUCCUGGGGGCCAUAAUGACCCACAGUGGGCAGAAAUUUUCUUCUCCAAGUCGGGCCAGGGCUGACUGGGAGCUGUGACUGUGGACUUUGCUCUCAGCUUGAGUGGAUGGAGUGAUAUUUCUGGAUUUGACUGUGAAGUGAUUCUGAAGAAACUUAUGUGUGGUUCACAGACUCGGUAGGCAAGGCCCACCCUUCACUCAGGCAGCAAUGUGAAGCCAUCUGAGAGCCGCACUGGGAGAAGCAGUGUGGAGCAGACACUUCCUCUGCGUCUCCUGGGAUAGACAUGCUUGCUUUAGCUUUCUUCAUCAGAUAUCCAAGUCUGUUCACUCUGAGGAGUGAGCGUGUGGUUCUCUAGUCUCUUCAGAUUCUCAGACUGAGACUCACAAAAGUGGCUUCCCUGGUCUGUGCCUUUCAGACAUGGGCUGCGCCAAGCUACAGUAUUCCAGAGUGUCCGCCUGAAGAAAGCCUGCUGUGGGGAUGCUCAGGCAUAUUGCCACAGAAUGUCCCCAGUAGAGCGAUGCUGUAGGGACGGGGCAGCCCCUCGAGGCCCUGGAACUGCAGGGCGAUCAUGCGCUCAUGCAGCCUGGCAAAGCUGCAGCCCGAGACUCCAACUGUGAAAGCGAAUGUGCACUGAGCCCAGCACAGCCACAGCGGCAGGUCCUCAGCUUAGCUGGAGUCAGUCACCCCUCUCCCGAUUAUUUCUCCCAGAUGAACAGGAACUGAACAGCUGGCUCCUGCUCCUUCAUCACAUUUUGCCAGUGUGUGCUCUUCUGACUGCACAGGCUCACGGCUGCAGAAGGCUAACUCAUCAUCAGGAAGCCUGGUGGUUACAGCCAGGCAAGGCUGAUCAUCUCACCUGUGUCUAAUUGAGACAGCACUACAGUUAGAAGACUGUCCUCAUCCAAGAUGAAGUUUUUGACUCAUUCAAGUCAAAGGCCAUUUUUAUAAAUUAGGGUGGCAGGACACAAAAGGACAGCACUCAUCACACGAGGUUCUGCACCACAGCAGAAUAAGCAGGACCAUGGAAGCAGAGGAGACUGAGGACGUGGACGGGGGACGCAGCCUUCUCUGUGGUGCUCAGUGCCCCAGACUUCAGACACAUGUCCACCAGCACUGCCUGGCCUUACCAGUGAGCCCCAGUCUCACGCUGUGUGGCUGACCCAGACGCAUUGGGGACCACUUCUGCACAAGGCUUUUCCAAGGCAGGAACCUGUGGUAACUUACCUGGCCUUGUUUUCAUCACACUCCCCCAGGCUGAGUGGCUGAUGUGGGACUAAGUCGUCGUCAGAGGCUUCCUCUGGGCCACACCCCAGUGGUGGCUUGAAAGGUGCGGUUCCUGCUGAAGAGGCUUCAGCCUUUGUAGAUGACCAUGCUGCACCAGGGCGCACGCCCGCGCGCGCACACACACACACACAUACACACUUUCUUCCUCACUACCCACUAGCCCAGCUGUGUGAGAGCCCCCUUUGGCAAAUCCUUCUAAGGUUUUUGUAGAACAGUUUUGAUAUCUUCCCAGAAAGCAGCAUUCUAUGCCACUUCCUAUCUAAUACAGAAAGAGAAAAGUAUUUAGGCUAACACUUCAAAUCUCGGAAGAAAAAGCAUAGUCAGCACAGAGAUGACCAAAACAUAGUCCAGGCCCGACAUCACAGCAUAGAAUCUGUGCUCCCCUCUGUAACCAUAAGCAUAAUGGCGCCGUGGUACACAGAUGCUACCCAUGUACUCAGUGGCUAUAUGGCUGUCUUCUGUAACAGCUAAGUCUCAAUUUUCUCAGGAAUCUACUUCGCUCUGUGUGUGCACACUUGUGCCUGUGUGUGUGUGAUCACGUGCACGUACAUAUGUGCAAGCGAGAGCGGAGGUUAGACAUAGAUUUUUUUGGUAUGUACUUCCAAUGUGGUCUACCUUAUUUUCUCUGGGAAAGGGUCUUUAAUUAAUCUGAAACUCUCACAGUCGGCCUGGCUGGCUGGCCAGUGAGCCCCAGGAGUUGACCCAACCUGUAAUUGCCUCCUUAGUAUUGUGGCUAUCAGCACUUAUAACUCUGCACGUGUUUUUAUUAUCAUUAUCCUCGUUAAUUCUUGAACUCUUGGGUCCUCAUGCUUGCCUGACUAGCCCUUUAUGGACUGAAUGUCUCCAGCCUUCAUUUAAAGCUUCACUCUAA